CCAAUAGCGUAUAUUAAAGUUGUUGCAGUUAAAAAGCUCGUAGUUGAAUUUCGGGAUUAAUUUAUUGGUCGUGCUAUUGUACGUACUGGUAUUAUUGAUUCCUACCUUCUGACGAACCACGAUGUCAUUAAUUUGGUGUCAUGGGGAAUCAGGACUGUUACUUUGAAAAAAUUAGAGUGUUUAAAGCAGGCUCACGCUUGAAUACAUUAGCAUGGAAUAA
rnacentral:rRNA from 1 species